rnacentral:rRNA from 1 species
UACAGAGGUCCCAAGCGUUGUUCGGAUUCACUGGGCGUAAAGGGUGCGUAGGUGGUGAGGUAAGUCGGAUGUGAAAGCUCGGAGCUCAACUCCGAAAUGGCAUUGGAAACUACCUUGCUCGAGGGUUGGAGGGGGGACUGGAAUGCUUGGUGUAGCAGUGAAAUGCGUAGAUAUCAAGCGGAACACCAGUGGCGAAGGCGAGUCCCUGGACAACUCCUGACACUGAGGCACGAAAGCUAGGGGAGCAAAUGGG